UACGAAGGGUGCAAGCGUUACUCGGAAUCACUGGGCGUAAAGCGUGCGUAGGCGGUUCGUUAAGUCUGCUGUGAAAGCCCUGGGCUCAACCUGGGAACUGCAGUGGAUACUGGCGGACUAGAGUGAGAUAGAGGAUGGUGGAAUUCCCGGUGUAGCGGUGAAAUGCGUAGAGAUCGGGAGGAACACCAGUGGCGAAGGCGGCCAUCUGGAUCAACACUGACGCUGAGGCACGAAAGCGUGGGGAGCAAACAGG
rnacentral:rRNA from 1 species